GUGAGGAAUAUUGGUCAAUGGGCGAGAGCCUGAACCAGCCAAGUCGCGUGAAGGAUGAAGGUUUUAUGAAUUGUAAACUUCUUUUGCAGGGGAAUAAAGUACGGUACGUGUACCGUUUUGUAUGUACUAUGCGAAUAAGGAUCGGCUAACUCAGUGCCAGCCGCCGCGGUAAUACGGAGGAUCCAAGCGUUAUCCGGCUUUACUGGGUUUAAAGGGUGCGCAGGCGGGUUGAUAAGUCAGCGGUGAAGGUUUGCAGCUUAACUGUAAAAUUGCCGUUGAGACUGUCGAUCUUGAGUGCAAAUGAGGUAAGCAGAAUGUGUUGUGUAGCGGUUAAAUGCUUAGAUAUAACACAGAACACCGAUUGCGAAGGCAGCUUACUGGGAUGCAACUGACGCUCAUACACGAAAGCGUGGGGAUCAAACAGGAUUAGAUACCCGUGUAGUCC
rnacentral:rRNA from 1 species